CUGGGCGUAAAGGGUGUGUAGGAGGUCGGAAAAGUCGAAUGUGAAAUCCCUCUGCCUAACGGAGGAACUGCGUUCGGAACUGUCUGGCUAGAGGUUCGGAUGGGGAAGCGGAACUCUCGGUGUAGCAGUGAAAUGCGUAGAUAUCGAGAGGAACACCGGUGGCGAAGGCGGCUUCCUGGACGAAACCUGACUCUGAAACACGAAAGCUAGGGGAGCAAACGGGAUUAGAUACCCCGGUAGUCCUAGCUGUAAACGGUGUGCGUUAGGUGUUGGCGGAUUCGACCCCGCCGGUGCCGAAGCUAACGCAUUAAACGCACCGCCUGAGGAGUACGGUCGCAAGGCUAAAACUCAAAGAAAUUGACGGGGGCCCGCACAAGCGGUGGAGCAUGUGGCUUAAUUCGAUGCAACGCGAAGAACCUUACCUGGCCUUGACAUGCAGCGUUCAGUCCCGGAAACGGGAUGGCCCGCAAGGGCGAGCUGCACAGGUGCUGCGUGGCUGUCGUCAGCUCGUGUCGUGAGAUGUUGGGUUAAGUCCCCCAACGAGCGCAACCCCUGUGUCUAGUUGCCGAAAGGUUCUCUAGACAGACUGCCCUCUUCAAGGGGGAGGAAGGUGGGGACGACGUCAAGUCAGGAUGGCCCUUAUGGCCAGGGCUGCACACGUGCUACAAUGCUCGGCACAAAGGGAAGCAAGACCGCGAGGUGGAGCAAAUCCCCAAAACCGAGCCCAGUUCGGAUUGAAGGCUGCAACUCGCCUUCAUGAAGCCGGAAUCGCUAGUAAUCGCGGAUCAGCUUGCCGCGGUGAAUACGUUCCCGGGUCUUGUACUCACCGCCC
rnacentral:rRNA from 1 species